GAUCAUGGCUCAGAUUGAACGCUGGCGGCGUGCUUAACACAUGCAAGUCGAACGCGAAAGUGGCUUCGGCCACGAGUAGAGUGGCGCACGGGUGAGUAACGCGUGGAUAAUCUGCCUCUGCAAUCGGAAUAACGACUGGAAACGGUCGCUAAUACCGGAUACGCUUAAGUUUUACCUCUUAAGGAAAGAUGACCUCUAUUUAUAAGUUAUCGUGCAGAGAUGAGUCCGCGUCCCAUUAG
rnacentral:rRNA from 1 species